UCAUUACUAGCAAUAGGAAACAAAGACAAAUGAGCACCACCAUCAGACUCAAAAAUCGAAAGCAACCAUUUCAUAUCACCAAUAGAAGACUCUAAAAGAUUCGAAAAUCAGCAGUUGUAGUGAUAGAAAACACUUGACGAAGUACCUCACUAUGUUUCUUGCAUUUGCGGACAAGAGUUAGUGCACGGUCAAGGUUUUGGUGAUGUCGGAAGCGAUACGGCGGAGAGGACGAUCAUAGAGGGAAGGAGUGGAGAUGGCAAGGCGGACGGCAGAGCGGAGCAUUUGGGAAAGGUGGUCAACUUGUUUUGCUAAGUCAAAACAGUCUUGCUUUGAAGAUUCAGCCUCUUGGGUUGAUUUUAUGACACGAUCUGCCAGUAAAAUCGGAAGAGAGAGUUCUUCUUGCACCGUUUUUUCCUCUACUCCAUGAGGAGGAACUGUAGUAGAAGUAGCUGCAGCUGCAGCACUGGACAUUUUUGUUAACUGAAUUGGACAGCCCAAGUCUUCUAACCUCGUACUGCACGGACACGAGUUUGGACAAUCUAGGAGUUAAGGAUUGAUUUGAGAAAAGGAAGGAAGUUGAGGAGGAGGUGGUGGCGGCGACGGCCUUAUAGGUGUGAGUGUGUGACUGACUAGUGACUCUGCGCUAAAGGAGAAUUUUCAAAAGGGCAGAAGAAAAUAUAGGAUAGGAUGUUUUUACUUGGCCUUAGUUGAAUAAUCAUUU
rnacentral:lncRNA from 1 species